rnacentral:rRNA from 1 species
UACGGAGGGCGCAAGCGUUGUUCGGAAUCAUUGGGCGUAAAGCGCGUGUAGGCGGCUUGGCAAGUCGAGUGUGAAAGCCCGGGGCUCAACCCCGGAAGGUCGCUCGAAACUGCCUCGCUCGAGUCCCGGAGAGGAAGGCUGAAUUCCCGGUGUAGAGGUGAAAUUCGUAGAUAUCGGGAGGAACACCAGCGGCGAAGGCGGCCUUCUGGACGGUGACUGACGCUGAGACGCGAAAGCGUGGGGAGCAAACAGG